AUUAAUUCGAUGCAACGCGUAGAACCUUACCUGGGUUUGACAUGGAUCGGGAGUGCUCAGAGAUGGGCGUGCCUCUUUUGGGGUCGGUUCACAGGUGGUGCAUGGCUGUCGUCAGCUCGUGUCGUGAGAUGUUGGGUUAAGUCCCGCAACGAGCGCAACCCUUGUUCACUGUUGCCAGCACGUUAUGGUGGGGACUCAGUGGAGACCGCCGGGGUCAACUCGGAGGAAGGUGGGGAUGACGUCAAGUCAUCAUGCCCCUUAUGUCCAGGGCUUCACGCAUGCUACAAUGGCUGGUACAGAGAGUGGCGAGCCUGUGAGGGUGAGCGAAUCUCGGAAAGCCGGUCUCAGUUCGGAUUGGGGUCUGCAACUCGACCUCAUGAAGUCGGAGUCGCUAGUAAUCGCAGAUCAGCAACGCUG
rnacentral:rRNA from 1 species